AAAUGAAAAUUUUGUGAGUGUUUACAAGUAAUUGAUCAUAACCAAUUACAAAUUGCUUUGUUCCUUCUCCACUCUCACUGCUUCACUUGUAUUUUUAG
rnacentral:Y_RNA from 10 species